AUGAACUGCAUUGAUAAGCUCACAGAUUUAGAGUUAUUUGUUUCUGCUCAUGCAAAGCAGAGUGAGUUGGUUAACAUAGAUUGGUUUGAAUUUGAGUUGACAUAUCUUGGUCAUCUCCUCAAGAAAUUUCACCGAGAUAGGACUCUUCGGAUAUCAAAGACUGCUGGGGGCACGUUGAUUACCUUCAGGUACAAUGAUUUGCAGCAUGCCACCAGCAACUUCUCAGAGAAGCCGGGGGGAGGUGCCUUCGGCUCAAUGUUCAAGGGGAAGCUCCCAGAUUCAACAUCCAUGGUGAAAUAA
rnacentral:rRNA from 1 species